rnacentral:tRNA from 1 species
GCCGAGCCGCAGCGCGGCCGGUCCGGUGGCGAGGCCGCUGGCGGCGGCCCAGUGACGGGCCCGCUGUUCGAGGUGGGGGGCGUGGCG